UAGGGAAUCUUCGGCAAUGGACGAAAGUCUGACCGAGCAACGCCGCGUGAGUGAAGAAGGUUCUCGGAUCGUAAAACUCUGUUGUUAGAGAAGAACAAGGGUGAGAGUAACUGUUCACCCCUUGACGGUAUCUAACCAGAAAGCCACGGCUAACUACGUGCCAG
rnacentral:rRNA from 1 species